rnacentral:misc_RNA from 1 species
ACCGACGAGGGCGACUACCAGAUCAAGCUGCGCAACAUGCGCCGUUUCCUGGAAGAGGGCGACAAGGUCAAGGUCAACAUCCGCUUCCGCGGCCGCGAAAUGAGCCAUCAGGAGCUCGGUCGCGAAAUGGCGGCGCGGAUCGAGGCCGACCUGGGCGAGGACAUCGUGGUCGAGUCGCGUCCGCGCCUGGAAGGGCGGCAGAUGGUCAUGAUGAUCGCGCCCAAGAAGAAGACCUGAGCCGGGUCCUUCCCCGCCCGCGGGGAGGCCCCAGGCGCGGUCGGGGCAGGGAGCUUGGCUCCCAAUCCCCUGAUUUGCCUGAAGAUAUUUGCAA